rnacentral:misc_RNA from 1 species
GAUGAAGAACGUAGCGAAAUGCGAUACUUGGUGUGAAUUGCAGAAUCCCGUGAACCAUCGAGUCUUUGAACGCAAGUUGCGCCCGAAGCCAUUAGGCCGAGGGCACGCCUGCCUGGGCGUCACACGUCGUUGCCCCCCAUCUACUCCUUCGGGAUUGCGGGGGGCGGAUGAUGGCCUCCCGUGCGCCUCGUCGCGCGGUUGGCAUAAAUGCCAAGUCCUCGGCGACGCACGCCACGACAAUCGGUGGUUGCGAAACCUCGGUUGCCCGUCGUGUGCGGUCGUCGCGCAUCGAGGGCUAGAAAAAAUUGCCGGGCUCCGGCUCGGCUUUCAACGCGACCCCAGGUCAGGCGGGGUUACCCGCUGAAUUUAAGCAUAUCAAUAAGCGGAGGA